AAGGCUGUUUCCUCUAGCGGUAACAUGGCUGGGUCUUCGGGAGCGACCCCAGGGGCGAUGACCCCAGUGACUCCAGCAGGCAGCACAGCUGACUCUGAGAAAAACACUGAAUUCCAAGAGAAUGAAAAGAUCCUGUCUCAAGAUUUUCUCUCAAUUGACCAGAUCACUGACCUGCUGAAAGAGGCAGACAUAAAUGGAAUUCAAGAGAAAAUGAGAGUAUUUCUGAAUUUCAAAAAUCUCCAGACUUGCUUAAGAGAUGCCAUUCUCUUGGACUACUAUGUGUCCGGGUUCUUUUGGGCCAAGGAAAUGGACUUUUCCCUCGACCAAUAUUCAAAAUUUAUGACCCUGCUGGACAUGUUACUGCAUAAUCUUCAAACGCACCAUAUGUCCUUAGAGGACAGCAUCAAGUGGCUCGGGGAAGUGAUGGCGGAAAUUGGACCAAACCAUUCACUGAAGAACGAGGGGUUGCACGUCUUUGAUGUCAGAGAAGCCAAUGCCAUCAUCGAUUACUUGAAAAUCAGCUUAUUCCAGCACUACAGGCUCUAUGAGUUUAUGUUCUACUCGACCAGAGAAGAAAUUGUCAUAGGAACCGCGCAAACCAUCGAGGUUGCCAAGCCUGCAGACCACCCUUUUCCAGCCCCACUGGAGGAAGGAAUCUCCUUGGACAUAUUUGCAGCCUUCAUAGAGCCAUCGCCCAUACCAGAGACUGAACGGAAGGUGCUGGAUCAAGAGGAAAGCCCGGAGGCCCAGGCAGAGAGUGAGGCGGCAGAGGUGGAUCCUUUAGUCGGCUUCACCAUUGACGAUGUAAAAUCAGCCCUGGCUCGAGUGACAGAUGAGGUUUUGUUGAACAUUCAGCUUCCAGGAAUGCCACUUAGAAUGCAUUAGAGGGAAGGCCAACACGAAGGGUGGAGGGGCCCACAGUGCUGCAUCGAUGAGCUGAGCCCAGAGCAGUUACUCGGAUUCGGCCCUUAUUGGCAACUGUGUCUGGAAAUGCUGGCCAGUCAUCCUAUCUUCCAACAUGAGGCUGUGUGCAAAGAUGGCUGUCCGAACACCACUUCCUGUCCACGGGAGACAUACUAUACAUUGGAAAUGUGCAGAGAAAUACGAUCAAGCGUUAUCGUAUCCCCACAGGCUGGAGCACAGCUGUGUCUGCAAAACAGGAAGAACGAGAUAAAGGAAAAACUGCAAGUCCAGGAAGAGGCCUUUAACGCACGAAUAGAGAAACUGAAAAAGGCCUGAGGAUUCGGAACAAGCAAAGUGAUGCCGAACUUCAGAGAAACAGACAAAACUGGCCAGAAUAAUCGAUUCUCUGGAGUGCUGUGUUGCCUCCACGCAGCCGUGAAAGGAAAGCCCACUUUUCCUCAUGCAGACUGAUUAGCAGCGCGUUCUCCUGCCCCUCCUGUCCCACACCCACCUCUGAGUUUGCAGUGCCAAAUGCAGCUACACUGCUUGGUGUGGAAGAGUCUGGAGCGUCACAUAGGAAAAUAUAAUUACUAUUAGGACUGCUCUAUGUCGUUUUGACUAAUAAACACUAUUCCUCUUCUAUGGGAAUGAAACCAGUCUUUUGAAAUAACCCCCCAAAAAUGUAGAAAAAUAAGUUUUUACCAUUUUGGGCUAGAUGGCCUGUCACAUUAGGGUAGCACUGUGAGGAGGGACCACACCUUACUGUGAUGGGCAGGCUUGGUAACAACAGUCAUCUGGUCAUCCUGGCGUGUACUGCAGGGCUGCUUUUGUUUUG